GCUGGGUGUGGUGGCUCAUGCCUGUAAUUCCAGUGGCUCAGGAGGCUGAGGCAGGAGGAUCACAAGUUCAAGGCCAACCUCAGCAACUUAGCAAAGCCCUAAACAAAUUAGUGAGACUCUGUAUCAA
rnacentral:sRNA from 1 species